rnacentral:tRNA from 1 species
GAUAGUGCGGUGUAGUGGUUUCAACAUUGGACUAUGAAUCUGGAGAGCAGGGUUCGAAUCCCUGCUUGGCCA